ACAAACUCCCAAAAUCAAUCUUAAAUCUUCAAUUAAACCGAAAUAAAGAAAUUGAACACAAUGAAACCCAAGCGCUCAUCACUUACCAGCUUCCCAAACGACCCCUGAUACUAUGAUUCCACAAGAGGAGAGCUUCGUUCCUCACGAUUCGCUGCGGCUAAUAACCCAAAAAAUCAAAACUAACGAAAAAGACAACAUCAUUUUAAAACGACUUGAAAAGAAUUCUCCCUAACUCGAG
rnacentral:lncRNA from 1 species